rnacentral:lncRNA from 1 species
CUGAAAUUUUUUCAGGAUAAGUUUUCAUUAAGUUGACGGAGUUAGUGGUAUUGUGACAUAUUUAAAUGAAAACACAUGGAUUUCUGGAAACCACGCUAUUUUAAAAAGCUAUAAUUUAAUUCAGCCUUUUAAAACAAUAGUUGUUUAUUUUCAUAAAUGUAUUUUUAUUCCUGGAAACAAGUUUCAGCAUAAUGAUUUAAAAUGAUAAAUUGAUAGACAUAACACAUAAUAAGGCAAAUCAGAUUUUUAUUGGCUGUGUUCCUUGCUUUCUGUAAAUAUCUAUAUAUCUUUCUAUGUAAUACUUUAGACAUCCAAAAUGCUUAUUAAAAAAACAGCUUUUUUCUCACAUCAAGCUGAAAACUUGCAUCAGUCACUUUUCUGCCUACCUUUAUUGCUGAACUAGUGGUGCACACAACUCCUCAAAUUCUC